rnacentral:lncRNA from 1 species
AUGCAGUACUGGAGCAACUUCUACCUGCAGUGGAACACGUCCAUAUACCCUGAUGUGGCCACCGUCCGGUUCCCCGACAACCAGACCUGGAGGCCCAACAUCCUCAUGUACAACAGGUAUCAACACGGCCACGGGGUGAAGGUUUCCAUCCCACUGGUUCCCUCCGUCCCACUGGUUCCCUCUGUCCCACUGGUUCCCUCCGUCCCACCGGUUCCCUCCAUCCCAUCGGUUCCCUCCGUCCCACUGGUUCCCUCUCUCCCACUGGUUCUGUCCGUCCGUCCCACUGGUUCCCUCUGUCCCACCGGUUCCCUCCGUCCCACUGGCCCCUGUCCGUACCACCGGUUUCCUCUGUCCCACUGGUUCUAUCCGUACCACCGGUUCCGUCUGUCCCACUGGUUCCGUCCGUCCGUCCCACCGGUUCCCUCUGUCCCACCGGUUCCCUCCGUCCCACCGGUUUCCUCUGUCCCACUGGUUCCCUCCGUCCCACUGGUUCCCUCCGUCCCACUGAUUCCCUCCGUCCCACCGGUUCCCUCCGUCCCACUGGUUCCCUCUGUCCCACUGGCUCUGUCCGUACCACCGGUUUCCUCUGUCCCACUGGUUCUAUCCGUACCACCGGUUCCCUCUUUCCCACUCGUUCUGUCCAUACCACCGGUUCCCUCCGUCCCACUGGUUCCCUCUGUCCCACUGGUUCUGUCCGUCCCACCGGUUUCCUCUGUCCCACUGGUUCUAUCCAUACCACCGGUUCCGUCCGUCCGUCCCACCAGUUCCCUCUGUCCCACCGGUUCCCUCCGUCCCACUGGUUCCCUCUGUCCCACCGGUUCCGUCCGUCCCAUUGGUUCCCUCUGUCCCACUGGUUCUGUCAGUCUCACUGGUUCUAUCCGUCCCACUGGUUUCCUCUGUCCCACUGGUUCCCUCUGUCCCACUGGUUCCCUCCAUCCCCCUGGUUUCCUCUGUCCCACUGGUUCCCUCCGUCCCACUGGUUCCCUCUGUCCCACUGGUUCCCUCCGUCCCACUGGUUCUCUCCGUCCCACUGGGCCUGUAGUUGGGGGGUUUCGAGUGGUCAGCAUGUGGAGCUCAGGGUUUACUGCUGAUUUUGUUUCUAAAUUUAAAUAUUCUAACAAUACAGAGAACUUGAGAACCUGCUCUGCCCAUAUACACCCAGUAUGUGACCUGCCCCACCAGAGACAAUAA